rnacentral:rRNA from 1 species
AGGAUGAACGCUGGCGGCGUGCCUAAUACAUGCAAGUCGAGCGGUAAGGCCUCUUCGGAGGUACACGAGCGGCGGACGGCUGAGUAACACGUAGGAACGGUACCCAAAGUGAGGGAUAAGCACCAGAAAUGGUGUCUAAUACCGCAUGUGAUCUUCGGAUUAAAGCUCCGGCGCUUUGGGAACGGCCUGCGCAUGAUUAGCUUGUUGGUGAGGUAAUGGCUCACCAAGGCGACGAUCAUUAGCUGGUCUGAGAGGAUGACCAGCCAGACUGGGACUGAGAACGGCCCAGACUCCUACGGAGGCAGCAGUAGGGAAUUUUCCACAAUGGGCGAAAGCCUGAUGGAGCAACGCCGCGUGCAGGAUGAAUGCCUUCGGGUUGUAAACUGCUUUUAUAUGUGACGAUUAUGACGGUUAGCAUAUGAAUAAGGAUCGGCUAACUCCGUGCCAGCAGCCGCGGU